AGGGUUCGAUCCUGGCUCAGAAUGAACGUUGGCGGCGUGGAUUAGGCAUGCAAGUCGUGCGGAAAGGCCCCGCAAGGGGUACUCGAGCGGCGAAAGGGAUAGUAAUGCGUGGAUACCUACCCUCAGGCCUGGGAUAGCUGCUGGAAACGGCAAUUAAUACCAGAUAAUGUCCCCGGACCAAAGGUGUGAUUCCGUCUGAGGAGGGGUCCACGUCCUAUUAGCUAGUUGGUGAGGUAACGGCCCACCAAGGCGACGAUGGGUAGCGGGUGUGAGAGCACGACCCGCAUCACUGGGACUGAGAUACUGCCCAGACACCUACGGGUGGCUGCAGUCGAGAAUCUUCGGCAAUGGGCGAAAGCCUGACCGAGCGACGCCGCGUGCGGGAUGAAGGCCCUCGGGUUGUAAACCGCUGUCAGUGGGGAGGAAGGCUCUGUGAAGAGCAGGGUUUGACCUAUCCGCAGAGGAAGUCCGGGCUAAGUUCGUGCCAGCAGCCGCGGUAACACGAACCGGACGAACGUUAUUCGGAAUCACUGGGCUUAAAGGGUGCGUAGGCGGCCUGACAAGUUGGGUGUGAAAUCCCUCGGCUUAACCGAGGAAUUGCGCUCAAAACUGUCGGGCUUGAGGGAGUUAGAGGUGAGCGGAACUUAGGGUGGAGCGGUGAAAUGCGUUGAUAUCCUAAGGAACACCAGUGGCGAAAGCGGCUCACUGGAGCUCUUCUGACGCUGAGGCACGAAAGCUAGGGGAGCGAACGGGAUUAGAUACCCCGGUAGUCCUAGCCGUAAACGAUGAGCACUGAUCGGAGGACACUCCAUAGUCUUCUGGUCGUAGCGAAAGUGUUAAGUGCUCCGCCUGGGGAGUAUGGUCGCAAGGCUGAAACUCAAAAGAAUUGACGGGGGCUCACACAAGCGGUGGAGGAUGUGGCUUAAUUUGAGGCUACGCGAAGAACCUUAUCCUAGGCUUGACAUGCACGGAUUAACCUCGUGAAAGCGAGGCCACGCCCGCAAGGGUGGAACGUGCACAGGUGCUGCAUGGCUGUCGUCAGCCCGUGUCGUGAGAUGUCGGGUUAAGUCCCUUAACGAGCGAGACCCUUGUCACUAGUUGCCAGCGCGUCAUGGCGGGGACUCUAGUGAGACUGCCGGUGUUAAACCGGAGGAAGGCGGGGAUGACGUCAAGUCCUCAUGGCCUUUAUGCCUAGGGCUGCACACGUCCUACAAUGGUGCGUACAAAGGGAAGCAAACCUGCGAGGGUGAGCAAAUCCCAAAAAAAACGCACCCCAGCUCGGAUUGCGGGCUGAAGCCCGUCUGCAUGAAGCCGGAAUCGCUAGUAAUCGCGGGUCAGAAUACCGCGGUGAAUGAGUUCCUGAGCCUUGUACACACCGCCCGUCAAGCCACGAAAGUGGGGGGCGUCCGAAGUCGCCGUGGUAACCCGCAAGGGAGCUAAGCGCCGAAGACGAACUCCGCGAUUGGGACUAAGUCGGAACAAGGUA
rnacentral:rRNA from 1 species